ensembl:lncRNA
GGGGUGUAGAGGGGGAGAGAGACAGAGAGAUGGGGAGAGACAGAGAGAGAGGUGGAGAGACAGUGAGAGAGGUGGAGGGAGAGAGAGAGGGGGGUGUAGAGGGAGAGAGAGGGGGAGAGACAGAGAGAGGGGGAGAGAGAGAGAGAGAAAGAGAGAGAGGUGGAGAGACAGAGAGAGAGGGAGAGACAGAGAGAGAGGUGGAGAGACAGAGAGAGAGGUGGAGAGAGAUAGAGGGGUGUAGAGGGAGAGAGAGGGGGAGAGACAGAGAGAGAGGGGGGGAGAGACAGAGAG